UAGGGAAUCUUCCACAAUGGACGAAAGUCUGAUGGAGCAACGCCGCGUGAGUGAAGAAGGGUUUCGGCUCGUAAAGCUCUGUUGGUAGUGAAGAAAGAUAGAGGUAGUAACUGGCCUUUAUUUGACGGUAAUUACUUAGAAAGUCACGGCUAACUAUGUGCC
rnacentral:rRNA from 1 species